rnacentral:lncRNA from 1 species
CAGGAGCAAGCAGGGCAGCAUGGUGAGCUUGGUAAUCUUUGAAGUGGGAAGAAGUUUGGUAGGGCGGGUGGAUUUGCGAAUAGGUGGGGGGUGGGCGUCGAUGGAAGGUUAGGAGGGAAGAGUAGGAAGAUGUGGUGUGUGAUGUGUGGAGACGACGUUGAGGUGUCAAGCGAUGAAGGAGGGGCGUCAUCUAAUGCCACGGGAGAGGGAUGUGAGGAGGUAGUUGGAGAAUCAGAGAUGGUGAGGUCUGGGGUUACCUGGGUUUGCAG